GCCCGCUCCGCGCCCCGUCCCCGAGGGCCGGCGAUGCGCCCAUCCCGGAAAUCGUCGUCGAGGAGGACAAACUUUUGAGUGGAUGAACACCCACAGGAGCAGGUCCAAAGCAGGAUUGCUGACAUGACCACUGCUGGACCCAGCUUUCGUAAGCCUGUCGUGGGGACCUGUGGACCCAACACUGAUACCUUCAAGUAGGGGGAAAGCCCCCGUGAUGGAGCCCAGUUGAAGGCGUGGAGAAGGAAUGGCAUGAAGGAGGCUGGGGAGGGGCAGCUUUAGGCCAUAUGCUCGCUGCAGAGAGAGCUUAGAAACAAAGGAAGAUGGCAAGAAGGCCCAGGAAAACUGCCCGAUGCACUAGAAAAAUUCAGAGCAACAAAGAUGAGAUCGGGAGAGAGGAAAAGAUCUGAGAAAGCCCAAAAGCGCAGCAAAAGGAAGAGAUUUGUGGAGGCCAACAGGGCUAGACGUGUGCAAGAAAGGAAUAGUGAUAGAAAACAAAAAUGAAGAGCAGGCUCUGCUGCUCUGAGACGCGCAGGCUGGCUGCCGUGGCGCUGAUGCAGGUGCUGGGAUACCAAGAAGAGCUGCUACGUGGGAGAACAGCUUGACGACCAACCUGCUUUCUGGAGUUUCUCUGUCAAUUGUGAUCUUGACCUUCACGUGCCCUUGCUUCACUGCGGACAGGUCCUCACCGUCCUGCCCGUCCUGGCUCUUGGGAAGAGUCAUUUUGGUGCUCCCAAGCCAACUGCUCUCCUAGGGCAAGUGAUGCAGUUUGGAGACUCAAACUAACCAGCUAAGCAUACUCCCUUUCACCAGUGCAUUUAGGGGUCCUCUCUCCUUCGCAAAGAGGCUAGGACGUGCUGGCUCCUGGCCAUUUGAAUGUGAAUUGCCCCAUUAGCCAGGCCCACUACCAUCCACAUCUGCUUGCUGGGGAAAAAAAUAAAAAACAGAGACGCCUGUUCCAGGUAAUUUAGAGGGCAUGUAGACUGUCUGCCCAGAGCCAUCUCCCACCCCAGCCUGGCCCUGCAGGGAAGCAGAAACCCAAUGCACCUCACUUCACAGGAGCCGGGAUCUCAGGCAGAGCAGCAGAUGCCAUGCCAGAGCCAGCCAGCCAAAAUCCAACUCCUGUCCUUGGAUUCCAUGAUGCCUCUGGUUGUUUUUCUCUUCUGUUUGGAGGUGGUGGGGGACCGGGAAAUUAUGUUUCUGCCCACGACCCUCUCAUCCUUCCCUGUGGCCCUGCAACCUCAAAUCUACCGACCGGGAUGAACUAAGUACAGCUUCCAGCCUGGGCUCGCAAUCAAAGCAAAUUCAAAUUCUCUUCUGGGCAGAAGGGCAGCUGCUCCUUCUCAUAGGCCCUUGCACAUUGAUCUGUUCUGAGGGCACCCCAGGGUCAGAAGAGAGACCAGACUGCUUUAAUUGGUGUAGAAUUAGCAUUUCCUAGCACACCAAACACCAGGAUUUCCCACACCAAGGAAUCAGAGGUUCUCAUCCAGACUCACCACACCUGUUCUCUGACCCCUCGAGCCAGCCAUGAUUCCUCAUUUGUUGAGGUGCAGGACUAGAAGGGAAAUCAGGCAAUUUGCUCUGUUUCCGCAGUCAAUAGCUGCAGCUGCUCACUCCAUUAAUAUUUUUUUCUGUGCCCACCAUAGGCAAAGCAUUGCAUACCUCAGUUUGCUAUGACUAUCAGAAGAUUUUUGUCAUUCUGAGAUC